AGAGUUUGAUCCUGGCUCAGGAUGAACGCUAGCGACAGGCCUAACACAUGCAAGUCGAGGGGCAGCACUGAGAAAGCUUGCUUUUUCUGGUGGCGACCGGCGCACGGGUGCGUAACAGGUGUGCAAUCUGUCCAUAAUCAGGGAAUAGCCCACUGAAAGGUGGAUUAAUGCUCUAUGUGUAUUUUGAAGGCAUCUUCUUAAUAUAAAACGUAAGGAUUAUGGGUGAGCACGCUUCUGAUUAGCUAGUUGGCGGGGUAACGGCCCACCAAGGCGACGAUCAGUAGGGGUUCUGAGAGGAAGGUCCCCCACAUUGGAACUGAGACACGGUCCAAACUCCUACGGGAGGCAGCAGUGAGGAAUAUUGGUCAAUGGGCGGAAGCCUGAACCAGCCAAGUCGCGUGAAGGAUGAAGGUUCUAUGGAUUGUAAACUUCUUUUGCAUGAGGGUAAAGGACGGUACGUGUACCGUUUUGCAAGUAUCAUGCGAAUAGGCAUCGGCUAACUCCGUGCCAGCAGCCGCGGUAAUACGGAGGAUGCGAGCGUUAUCCGGAUUUAUUGGGUUUAAAGGGUGCGUAGGCGGGUUGUUAAGUCAGUGGUGAAAGUUUGCGGCUCAACCGUAAAAUUGCCAUUGAAACUGGCGACCUUGAGUGUAAAUGAGGUAGGCGGAAUGUGAUGUGUAGCGGUGAAAUGCUUAGAUAUGACGAAGAACUCCGAUUGCGAAGGCAGCCGUCUGGGGUGUUACUGACGCUGAGGCUCGAAAGCGCGGGUAUCAAACAGGAUUAGAUACCCUGGUAGUCCGCGCCGUAAACGAUGAAUGCUGGACAUCGGCGAUAUACUGUCGGUGUCUGAGGGAAACCAUUAAGCAUUCCACCUGGGGAGUACGCCGGCAACGGUGAAACUCAAAGGAAUUGACGGGGGCCCGCACAAGCGGAGGAACAUGUGGUUUAAUUCGAUGAUACGCGAGGAACCUUACCCGGGCUUGAAAGUUAGUGACGGCAGUGGAAACAUUGCUUCCCUUCGGGGCACGAAACUAGGUGCUGCAUGGUUGUCGUCAGCUCGUGCCGUGAGGUGUCGGCUUAAGUGCCAUAACGAGCGCAACCCCUGUCGUUAGUUGCCAUCAGGUUAAGCUGGGCACUCUGUGGAGACUGCCAUCGCAAGAUGUGAGGAAGGUGGGGAUGACGUCAAAUCAGCACGGCCCUUACGUCCGGGGCUACACACGUGUUACAAUGGGGGGUACAGCGAGCCGCUUCCUGGCGACAGGUGGCCAAUCUUUAAAUCCCCUCUCAGUUCGGACUGGAGUCUGCAACCCGACUCCACGAAGCUGGAUUCGCUAGUAAUCGCGCAUCAGCCAUGGCGCGGUGAAUACGUUCCCGGGCCUUGCACUCACCGCCCGUCA
rnacentral:rRNA from 1 species